rnacentral:rRNA from 1 species
AUUGAACGCUGGCGGCAGGCCUAACACAUGCAAGUCGAGCGGAUGAAGGGAGCUUGCUCCUGGAUUCAGCGGCGGACGGGUGAGUAAUGCCUAGGAAUCUGCCUGGUAGUGGGGGAUAACGUCUGGAAACGGGCGCUAAUACCGCAUACGUCCUGAGGGAGAAAGUGAGGGAUCUUCGGACCUCACGCUAUCAGAUGAGCCUAGGUCGGAUUAGCUAGUUGGUGGGGUAAAGGCCUACCAAGGCGACGAUCCGUAACUGGUCUGAGAGGAUGAUCAGUCACACUGGAACUGAGACACGGUCCAGACUCCUACGGGAGGCAGCAGUGGGGAAUAUUGGACAAUGGGCGAAAGCCUGAUCCAGCCAUGCCGCGUGUGUGAAGAAGGUCUUCGGAUUGUAAAGCACUUUAAGUUGGGAGGAAGGGCAGUAAGUUAAUACCUUGCUGUUUUGACGUUACCAACAGAAUAAGCACCGGCUAACUUCGUG